rnacentral:rRNA from 1 species
GUAACACGUGUGCAACCAACCCCGUACCGGGAGAUAACCCGCGGAAACGUGGACUAACACCCCAUAAGACCUUUCCCCCGCAUGGGGGGGAGUUUAAAACCCCGGUGGUACGGGACGGGCACGCGCGACAUUAGGUAGUUGGCGGGGUAACGGCCCACCAAGCCGACGAUGUCUAGGGGUUCUGAGAGGAAGGUCCCCCACACUGGAACUGAGACACGGUCCAGACUCCUACGGGAGGCAGCAGUGAGGAAUAUUGGUCAGUGGGCGAGAGCCUGAACCAGCCAAGUCGCGUGAGGGAAGAAUGGUCUAUGGCCUGUAAACCUCUUUUGUCAAGGAAGAACAUGUAGUACGUGUACUACCCUGCCAGUACUUGACGAAUAAGCAUCGGCUAACUCCGUGCCAGCAGCCGCGGUAAUACGGGGGAUGCGAGCGUUAUCCGGAUUUAUUGGGUUUAAAGGGCGCGUAGGCGGGACGUCAAGUCAGCGGUAAAAGACUGCAGCUAAACUGUAGCACGCCGUUGAAACUGUCGACCUGGAGACGAGACGAGGGAGGCGGAACAAGUGAAGUAGCGGUGAAAUGCAUAGAUAUCACUUGGAACCCCGAUAGCGAAGGCAGCUUCCCAGGCUCGAUCUGACGCUGAUGCGCGAGAGCGUGGGUAGCGAACAGGAUUAGAUACCCUGGUAGUCCACGCCGUAAACGAUGCUCACUGGAUCUUGGCGAUACACGGCCAGGGUUCAAGCGAAAGUAUUAAGUGAGCCACCUGGGGAGUACGUAGGCAACGAUGAAACUCAAAGGAAUUGACGGGGGCCCGCACAAGCGGUGGAACAUGUGGUUUAAUUCGAUGAUACGCGAGGAACCUUACCCGGGUUUAAAUGCAGGUUGCAUGAGGUGGAAACACCUCUUUCCCUCGGGACUACCUGCAAGGUGCUGCAUGGUUGUCGUCAGCUCGUGCCGUGAGGUGUCGGGUUAAGUCCCAUAACGAGCGCAACCCCUAUCGCCAGUUGCCAUCGGUUUCGGCCGGGCACUCUGUCGAGACUGCCACCGUAAGGUGCGAGGAAGGCGGGGAUGACGUCAAAUCAGCACGGCCCUUACACCCGGGGCGACACACGUGUUACAAUGGCCGGUACAGAGGGCAGCCACGGGGCGACCCGGAGCGAAUCUCUAAAGCCGGUCGUAGUUCGGACUGGAGUCUGCAACCCGACUCCACGAAGUUGGAUUCGCUAGUAAUCGCGCAUCAGC